rnacentral:SRP_RNA from 1 species
GUCGUGCUAAGUAACAAGAGCUUGUAACCCAAGUGAGGGCAUGAAGGUGAUGGAACAACUUUGUGGCUCCCUAGUUUGAGUUGUGGAUGGUAAAAACUGGCUUGUCCGUUCGAAGUUGAGAGUUGGGUGAUGGGACUUAUGCGAAGGCAUAGGUGUCAUCUCCCUUAGACAAGAAGGAACUGCGUGAGGCUGGUUUCACAGAAUAGUGGAGGGAUAACAAGCAUCCUCCCUCCACAGAAUAACUCGUGUUGCCACCCUUGCUUGGACCCUCUCUUUU